rnacentral:lncRNA from 1 species
CAGAUCUAUGCUUCAACCAUUAAAGAAAACAAAUGAUUCAUCAUGUAAUCCCAACCCUAUGAGAUUUAGCUCAUAGGUUGGCAAAUAAAAUUCAAAACCAAAAUAUCAUUCAACAUUGUUUUCAUCAAAUAAAUUCACAGAGAAAUAGCUAAGAAAUAAUAGAAGAACGACAGGAAGACAGCUUUCACGUGUCCAGUUCACACUCCAGCGACACAGUGUCCUGUGAUGGUUGAGAGGGACUGUCUUCGUCUUCCUCUUUCCGUCUCUACUCAAAUGCUACCCUCUAGUUUCGCCUAUGGAUCUUCACCCUUGUUCAUCCUUUAGGGUUUUCUCCUUUUGCUUUUUAUAACUUUUUUUCCAACAACCCAUAUUUAUCUUCUCCACUUUUUAAAUUUUUUUUCUAGAAUAAAAACCAACAUCCGAAGAUUGUCUUCUCCUCUAUUUUAGGCAAAUUUUUCGAUACAAGUACAGUUGGGCUAAAAAUAGUAUGAGUUGAGUGUUGACUCGGUCUUCUUGGAAUUGCCACGACAUUCGUGUUGGCAAACUAUCCAACCUUUUGCCACGACAAACCUUCAUUCCUUUAUUACUUUUUCCGUAUCCUGCACCUGCCAAUCACCAAACACAACCCUUCCACAUGCAAUUAGAAGUAACAAAUAUUAAUGUUAAAGAACCGUCUAAGCUUAUUAUGCAAUGUUCUAAAAAUGCUAAAAUAAUAUUCUAAAAUGCAACUAAGUUCACUUAAGUGCAGACAAGUGACCCACUCUAAAGGCAUUAAUUAUAACUCUUUUCAAGAGUUAUCAGUUUCUAUUAAAGAAGAGAGAAUUUUUAUUUUCACCCCAAAAGAAAAACUUCUUCUAAUUUUAUGUUUUGAUUCAAUUGGUUCGAGCCCAGACUUGAAGUAGUUCGUGGUAUGAGAAUAACAAAAAAGAUUGUUUGGUUAAAAGCCGAAAAACAUCAAGUAUCCACUUAUCCAAAAACAUAAGUACAAUUUCGGUGUAACGUUUAUUGCUAUAAAUAUCACAAAUCAAGUCAGUUUUCAAAAUUUUUAUUUUUUGAUGUGCAAGAAAAUCAUUUUCAAAUAGAAUUUUUCCAACAUGAAAAAUUUCAAAUCAUCCCAAAGGAGCUUCCGCUUCUGCCUAUCCAGGCUACCAUACACAAAUGAGAUAUAAAUAAUAUUGAAAGGGACAUUAUUGAGCACUCGAACAAAAAUGAAUUAAGGAUGGUUUUGAAUCACCUCUACCCGAAUAGUAUCCUUCCAACCAAGCCAAAUACCACCUGAGAAACCAAUAGCUUCAACUUAAUGAGAGUAAUGAAAACCCAAAGUGGUAAUGACAUUAUCAUUUUUUUACCAUUGAUUCUAGGCUUCAGUAAGCACACAAUAUAUGGUCUAUACUCACAAACUAUAUUCCAUGAAAACUCUACCAAAUUUGGAACUAGCACAUCUGUGAUAGUUCUACGAGAAAAUGGUUAAAUUCAAAUCCAUAAAAACGGGAAAAGAGAGAUAAACCUCACUGUCUAGGAUUCUUUAGACUAACAUUUUGUUCUCCCACCCCAGUUGAAUUACUUGUACCAACAUCCACUGCAAAUUGAGAGGCAAAAAAUUCAGCCAUAGUAUUCAAAGAUUCAGAUAAUGGGGCGCAUGGGCUGCCAGAUGUCUUAAAAUGACUCCCUUGAUAAUGAAUUAUUUUAUAGAAUUUUUACCGUGUCGACCAACCUCCAGUUUUUCCCUCGAACCAUGCCCAAAACUCCGAAAAGAAUCCCUACCUGAGCCCAUCAUCGACUCUCCAUCUAUCGAAUCACAAAUAUUUGGUUUUUUUUGUGUUUUCCUUAAAGAUAAUUGAAGUGUGUUUCCCAAGUUCAAGACCACCCUCCAAAAUCUAAACCACAAACUCUACCGGCCCCUCAAAAGUAAGAUUAGAAUGAGUUGUCCUCAAUUGAAUACUAGAAAUCAAACUAACUCCAGCUCUCACUAUCGGAGCAUCACCAACCGUACUGGGUAAUUCUUCCCCAACGAUUUCCUCAACAUCCACUAGCUGGGCUUGAUGACUCCUACCAGCCUUCACAACUUAAUCCAACAAAGAUGGAUUCUCUCCCUCAAGAGCAGCACUCAACCCAAAAUUUUGGCCUGGUUGCUUGUCCAA